CUUGUAUCCAGCUAUUGCGGCAAGAACUGCUCUGCCAAGGGUGCCAAAGGAACUUCCAAUAGCCAAAGAAACAUAGACAACCAUCAGAGUAAGGUUUCCAAUAACAGGUUCUUCAGUUGCUGAAACAGGAGUUGCCAAAGCCAUCCAAUAAUUGCUUGCAAUUUGUAAAACACAAAGGAACUUCCAAUAGCCAAAGAAACAUAGACAACCAUCAGAGUAAGGUUUCCAAUAACAGGUUCUUCAGUUGCUGAAACAGGAGUUGCCAAAGCCAUCCAAUAAUUGCUUGCAAUUUGUAAAACCACAGUGAGUAUCUGUGACAGCAAUAGGAAAGGUACAAGAGCUCC
rnacentral:lncRNA from 1 species